UGAACAUUUACAUAAAUAAAGUCCCUCUGUGGGAUCUCAACAAGCCUCGAAGGGCUAUACAACAUAUGGAGAGUUGGUUUACUUAAACAUCAUAACAUAAAGAUCAUGUAAAGAUACAAAUGGGAUUAUCAACAUACUAUGGUCAAGCACAGCUCUAUCCUCAAUAACAUUAAUACAUAAAAAGACUAAUCAACUAUACAUCAUUUUACAAAUUUGUCAUGUCCACAAAUCUAUCUAUUACAAACAUGUGACUUUUCUCUUCAUAGCCUUCUCUAUCUAUCCCGUACCUGCAAAUCUGGGGGUUAGGGGAGAGGGGUGAGCUAGAUGCCCAGUGAGUAGAACUCUAAAAAGAAUAUUUUAAAACAUGUUAUCAUGGAAUGCAUCACUGCACAAACAUUUCACAUCAUGGACGGACUGACCCAAAAAUCCCUCAGCUCCAUGCCCGGCCCUAUUAUGGGCACCACAGGACUUCGUAUUGCCCGGCCCUAUUAUGGGCACCACAGGACUUCGUAGAUCGGAGCUAUUGCCCGGCCCUAUUAUGGGCACCACAGGACUUCGUACAAAGGGCUAGUGAGUCGUGCAAUGUCCAUCCCCCAUCAACAACAAAUAAUAAUGCAAUGCAACAUAAUUCGUGAUUCUAAUGCAAAUAACCUAUAAUAUAAUCAUGAUGCAUGAAGCAUGAUAAAAACAUUUAAUUUCUUAAUUUAAAAGGUUAAGUAUAGUCCCACUCACCUCUGGCUGACUCUGACAACUCUGUAGCAGCUGGCUCACUGCUGGGGUCCUUGGUUCCUCGGGUCCGAACCUACACAGGUGGACUCCAAUGAGGGACCAAACAUAUAUAAACAUGACUCUAAUAUAUCCCCCAAAAAGCCCCUAAAACAUCAUGAAAACAUCACAGAAAAUAUGCAUGAAAUGGCUGAACAGGGCACUUUCGGCGGCACCUUCGGCGGCCGAAAGUCCUGGACAGAGACGAAACUCAGCUAGGUUCGGCGGCACCUUCGGCGGCCGAAAGUGCCAGACAGAGACGAAAGUCUCUUUUCAGGGGCAACUUCGGCAGCCGAAAGGCCUGCCUCCCCAGCCAUGUUCGGCGGCCGAAAGUACCUUCGGCUGCCGAACCUGGUUUCUGCCAAAGGGCAGAAACUUGGCUCCCUUUGCCCAUUUCGCCUCCAAACCUACCAAUCAUGCAUAUUUUUCAACCCAAAGCAUGCAUACAAGUUCCUAGGGGCCUCAAACAAGUAUAUGCCCCAUCUACAACACUCCACAAACACACAAUCAAGCUACAUUGUUCAUCAAACAUCAAAAACCUAACAUUUACUCAAACAUGCAUAUAUCCCUAAACAUGCCAUUCUACCCCAUGAAUCUUGCAUAAAACUUGUUUAAAAUAUAAAAAGACUUCAAGAUCGAC
rnacentral:lncRNA from 1 species